rnacentral:lncRNA from 1 species
AAAAAUUUCCAUUGAAGUAAAGGUUUAGUAUCUGUAUUCAUUUCCUAGGGCUGUCAUAAAAAAUUACCACAAACCUAGAGGCUCCAAACAACAGAAAUUUAUCAUCUCACAGUUCGAGAGGCCAGAUGUCCAAACUCAAGGGAACAGAUGCUUCUGGGUACAGAGGAUCUCGGCAGUGAAGCCAGAGUGACUUCCUGUGUGCCUCUAGUAGAACUGUCAGCUUUAUGCUUGAAAAGCAAGAAAUUAGAACUCCUUGUCCACUUCAGGCCUGUUGAAACCACCAACUCAUCAACUCGGCCCAUGCAGAUGUCCAAUAGGCGACCUUUUGACAUCAAGAGGCUAAAAACUCCAUCCUCAGAUCAUGCUAAUGCUGCCAUUUUGUG